AUUGAGCGCUGGCGGCAGGCUUAACACAUGCAAGUCGAGCGGGGGAAGGUAGCUUGCUACUGGACCUAGCGGCGGACGGGUGAGUAAUGCUUAGGAAUCUGCCUAUUAGUGGGGGACAACAUCUCGAAAGGGAUGCUAAUACCGCAUACGUCCUACGGGAGAAAGCAGGGGAUCUUCGGACCUUGCGCUAAUAGAUGAGCCUAAGUCGGAUUAGCUAGUUGGUGGGGUAAAGGCCUACCAAGGCGACGAUCUAUAGCGGGUCUGAGAGGAUGAUCCGCCACACUGGGACUGAGCCACGGCCCAGACUCCUACGGGAGGCAGCCGUGGGGAAUAUUGGACAAUGGGGGGAACCCUGAUCCAGCCAUGCCGCGUGUGUGAAGAAGGCCUUAUGGUUGUAAAGCACUUUAAGCGAGGAGGAGGCUACUUUAGUUAAUACCUAGAGAUAGUGGACGUUACUCGCAGAAUAAGCACCGGCUAACUCUGUGCCAGCCGCCGCCGUAA
rnacentral:rRNA from 1 species